AACGAACGCUGGCGGCAGGCCUAACACAUGCAAGUCGAACGCCGUAGCAAUACGGAGUGGCAGACGGGUGAGUAACGCGUGGGAACCUUCCCAAUGGUACGGAAUAACUCGCCGAAAGGCGUGCUAAUACCGUAUAAGCCCGCAAGGGGAAAGAUUUAUCGCCAUUGGAUGGGCCCGCGUCGGAUUAGCUAGUUGGUGAGGUAAUGGCUCACCAAGGCGACGAUCCGUAGCUGGUCUGAGAGGAUGAUCAGCCACACUGGGACUGAGACACGGCCCAGACUCCUACGGGAGGCAGCAGUGGGGAAUAUUGGACAAUGGGCGAAAGCCUGAUCCAGCCAUGCCGCGUGAGUGACGAAGGCCCUAGGGUUGUAAAGCUCUUUUGGCGGGGACGAUAAUGACGGUACCCGCAGAAUAAGCCCCGGCUAACUUCG
rnacentral:rRNA from 1 species